rnacentral:rRNA from 1 species
GGUAGUAACACGUGGAUAACCUACCUAUAAGACUGGGAUAACUUCGGGAAACCGGAGCUAAUACCGGAUAAUAUAUUGAACCGCAUGGUUCAAUGUGAAAGACGGUUUUGCUGUCACUUAUAGAUGGAUCCGCGCCGCAUUAGCUAGUUGGUAAGGUAACGGCUUACCAAGGCAACGAUGCGUAGCCGACCUGAGAGGGUGAUCGGCCACACUGGAACUGAGACACGGUCCAGACUCCUACGGGAGGCAGCAGAC